UACGAGUGGGACGAGUGUUAUUCGGCGUGACUGGGCGUAAAGGGCAGGUAGAUAGUUAAUUUAAACACGUUACGAAAAGACUGUAGUGUAUUCUAUAGAAAGCUGCGUGAACAAUUUAACUAGAGUUAAUGCUUAAGAUAAAGGAAUUCUUUUUGUAGGGCUAAAAUCCGUAUUUAUUUUACAAAAAAAGGAGAACGCCGUAAUGGUGAAGACGCUUAUCUGAAGUUAACUGACAUUAAGCUGCGAAAGCGUGGGGAGCGAAUAGG
rnacentral:rRNA from 1 species